GUCUACGAUCAUACCACCCUGAACACGCCUGGUCUCGCCUGAUCUCAGAAGCUAAGCAUGGUCAGGCCUGGAUAGUACUUGGAUAGGGGACUUAUAAUGCUGGAUUGGACA
rnacentral:rRNA from 1 species